GCCUGGGUGGCUCAGUAGGUUGAGCACCUGACUCUUGUUUUGGUUCAGGUCAUAAUUUCAUAGGUUGUGGGAUCGAGCCCCAUAUUGGGCU
rnacentral:tRNA from 1 species